GCAUUUCCUCGUGUUGUUCCAGACAAACUGCAGUUUUUUGAAUAUGACACCGUUUCUAUAUGUUGUGAUGAGACUGGUGGUGAUGACUGGAGGGUGGUGAGGAAAAUCAGAGACGCAGACACAGGAAAUCGUUCUCACUGGGACUCAUCAGCUUCAUCCUGUGUCACUAAACCUGCACUUUCCAGACACAGUGGAGAAUAUUGGUGUGAAAACGAGAAGGGACAAAGAGGCGGCUCCGUCACCAUCACAGUCACUGACGGGUCUGUGGUUCUGGAGAGCCCGGCCCGUCCUGUGCUGGAGGGAACCUCUGUGACUCUGCUCUGCAGAAAGAGGAGGAACGCGUCCGUCGGCAUCUCAGACUUCUACAAGGACGGAUCCCUGGUGAGAACAGGCUACAGAGGAGCGAUGAGCAUCUCCAAUGUGUCCCUGUCACAUGACGGACUUUACAGGUGUCACAUGUCUGGAGCUGCAUCACCAGAGAGUCGCCUGUCUGUCAAAGGUGAAAGCAAGCAGGGAAAAUCUCAUACAUAGAGAUACAUUCAUUUAUUGUAGUGGAACAUGUGCUCUGUUUUAAUGCAGGAACAUAAUGUUUUAUUUUUUUCCACAGCUUCUUUAGAAAAGAAUGAUGGACACAGUCACUCGUCUGGUUUCUCUGUGUGGAUCGUUGUCAGUGUUUUACUGGUGGCUUUGUUGCUGCUGGUCAUGUUAGUCGUUUGCUUUAAUAAAUCCAAAGGUAAAAAUACAAACAUUAAAUCAAGCACUUUAAAAAUGAGAUACUGCGAGAUGUCUUUUACUCACAUCUUCUGCAGCUUUUGAUCUCAUGCUGUCGACAUAUUUAAUGGUCUGUUGCCAUUUAGUCUUUUUUCAUUUGAAUUCUAUUUUUUGUUUAUUGCAGCUUUUGUGUAGAUUGUAGUUCUAUCGUUGCCAUUCUUUAUCUUGCGUUGCAUAUGUUUCCUUUUUGUCAGACAAACCUACAGCAUCACAAGCUUGUGAAGAUGAAGGUAAGGAAUGUGGACACACGUAUCUGAUUCAGAAUAAAACUGUGUAUGUGAAACUGAAUGAAUGAACAUUUCACAUAUCUAAAGUUUAAAUUGUCUUGAUACAUAAAUGUCAGUGUAUUAUUAAUUUGUGUAUAUACAUAUACAUUGUAUUGUAGUCAGUACAAGUGAACUAAUGCCUGUGUUCAAGUGACAUCUCAGUCGAUUCAGCUCAGGCAACAUGUGCUGUAGUCAAAAAGCUAAAGAGGGUGAAAGGUACUUGUUAAUUCACUCUCUUUUUAUUAGACAUCAUCAUAUCUAUUAGAGAAUGUGGAGCUCAUGAGCACUGUGUUAACCAACUAUUCCCAUCAAAGCUCUACAGUUGUACAGUGAUCAUCUGUUGUGCUCAGUUCCACAGGAGAACAGUGCUGAGGACCCACAUGAUGUGACGUAUGCUUCUGUCCAAACUCACAGAACAAACAAAGGCCGAGACGUGAGGAGAGCAGGUACAAAGUCAGAUCCAACGGAGGAAAAGGACAUUUAUUCUCGAAUCAACUUGUAGAUUUACUCUGGGAUCUUGUGGCAACGUGUGACAGUGACCACUGGGAUUGUUUCCAUUCAGUCAUUAAGGACUCACCACGUUAGAGCUGAGCUGAAGACUGAGUCUGUCGGUGGCUGCUGCCUUUAUUCUCCUCAAACGUUUACUGAAUCUUGUCUUUGCUGUUUUUCAUAAACUAAAGGAACAGUUUUCCAGCUCUGAUAAAACUUUAGGCCAAAUAAAAUGUUAUGUCCUGUUAUUUCUGUGGAGAUGAUGCACUGUGACUGUGACCAACAGACCAACACACAACACGUUUAUUUACUCAAUGUCUGUUUUUAUGUCUAACAGUUCAGCGUGAGUGCAGUUUUAGUGCUGGAACCCACAUGUUUCUGUGUAAUAACAGAGUCACCUGUGGAGCUACUGUGUGAAGAUGAAGGACACAGUUGGUCUGAUGUGUGUGAACCGUGUGUCACGUUAACUGACACGUUGUGUAACUGUUUAUAUCAACGCGGCUCAUGUGCGUCUGUGUGAAAAAUACCUACAGAAACAGGUGAACCACAUGAGCAAACCACAGCCUGAAACACACUUUAACCUCCUGCUCAGGUCGAGACGGGAAGAAAAACUGCAUUCACCACUAACCGCUUGGUCUAUGGCUGCUAAUAUAUAGUGUAUAUACAUGAUAUGAUACUAAAUGUUUAAUCGUUUACUGCAACUCACAUUUAAGGUGCUACUUUGUUAAUCUGUUGCAACUAAUCAGAAAAAAACAUCACAUAUUAGAAUUUACUGAAGAAUGAAAAACAAUUUACUGCUGUUUGUUUUGAGGACGUGUCACGUAUGAACUAAACAUUCGUCAGUAUUCACACAGUGGAGAAAGUUAGCAGCACCAUGUCAUGCAUCACAGACUGAUUCCACUGAUCAGAAGUCAGAGAUACGUAAUAGAAUCAAAAUGUAAAUGGUUAGUAUCAUAAAGUACUUUACUUCUUCAAAGUAAUUGAAUUCUGCUGACACUGCGUUUUAUCAUGAGUGACUAUCUAACUCUCAGAUCGGCACUGGUCAUAAUCACUGAACCAUAAAGUGGUUGUUAAAUCCACUGUAUGUAACCUUUGCUUCUCUACAAAGCUACUUAUAUAAACUACUAAUACUGUGUAUUAAUCUCCAAAAUUAGUUCUUUUCAUUUUAUUACGUAUGUUUCUGAAUUCUGUCUUAUUUAUUGUACAAACAAUAUUCUUGAUGAGAUUCGUCAGAUUAACGGAGCAACUGUUCAAUCUGUCCAUUUUAAGUCAGUAACUGAAUGUCUAUUUUAGAGGGACUGGUUCAGUCUAAUGUAUCUGAAGAUGUGGUUUAAACAGAAGCACGUCUGCAUGUUUAUAAAUGUAUCUACUGAGGCGGACUCUUCAAGAAGCUCCUUC